rnacentral:rRNA from 1 species
GACAGAGGGGGCAAGCGUUGCUCGGAAUUACUGGGCGUAAAGGGCGCGUAGGCGGGAUGGCAAGUCGGUCGUGAAAUCCCUCGGCUCAACCGAGGAACGUCGAUCGAUACUGCUGUUCUUGAGGAUUGCAGAGGAGACUGGAAUUCCCGGUGUAGCGGUGAAAUGUGUAGAGAUCGGGGAGGAACGACCGGUGGCGAAGGCGGGUCUCUGGGCAAUUCCUGACGGCUGAGGCGCGAAAGCGUGGGGAGCAAACGGG